AACGAACGCUGGCGGCAUGCCUAACACAUGCAAGUCGAACGGAUGCAGCAAUGCAUCAGUGGCAGACGGGUGAGUAACACGUGGGAAUCUACCCAGUAGCCUGGAAUAACCGCGGGAAACUGCGGCUAAUACCGGAUACGCCCCUCGGGGGAAAGGAGCAAUCCACUAUUGGAGGAGCCCGCGUCCGAUUAGCUAGUUGGUGAGGUAACGGCUCACCAAGGCGAUGAUCGGUAGCUGGUUUGAGAGAACGACCAGCCACACUGGGACUGAGACACGGCCCAGACUCCUACGGGAGGCAGCAGUGGGGAAUAUUGGACAAUGGGGGAAACCCUGAUCCAGCAAUGCCGCGUGGGUGAUGAAGGCCUUCGGGUUGUAAAGCCCUUUUGGCGGGGACGAUGAUGACGGUACCCGCAGAAGAAGCCCCGGCUAACUUCGUGCCAGCAGCCGCCGUAACAC
rnacentral:rRNA from 1 species